AAUUAGAAAGUCAAAGUGCUUUAUAGUACAUUAAAAACUGAGGAUAAAAUAUUCUAUCUUAAGAGUACUGGUCAAAUGGUAACACAUUUAUGGAAUAUUUAAAAUGUUUACAUACCAUCAUAAUUGGUUUUGUUUCCAUGGGGACACUGGAAACACUCAGGUCAUAAAAGCACACUGAAUACCUUGGCAGAAACUGUUGGUUAGCCAUCAAAAUUUCAUCUUCCCCUCUUCCAUGUAAAGAUCAGCCAGGGAAGACUACAUUUCCCAGCCUCCACUCCAGCCAGCUCAAGAUCCUAGGCUCUGAACACAUCCACAUCUUCUAGGAUGGUAGAAAAGGAAAUAAAAUACAGGGGAAAAAAUGGUAGAGCUGAAAAAGAAGUCAAACCCACCCAAAUCCCACCACCAACAAUAAUAAUAGCUACUGUUUUACUGAGUGCCUA